rnacentral:lncRNA from 1 species
CUCGUGAAAAGGUUUUUUCCCCUCUUGGUUUCACUGUAGUUUUGUUGUUUGGAGGUUUUAUGUUGUUCAUUUAGUUCCCUGGCUAUUGGGGUUUUAUAGUCGUAUUUCCUUUGUUUAAUAUAAUUUCUUUUUCUCUUUUAGCUGUUUUUGUUAGGGCGCCCAGAGGCUUCAGUUAUGAGUGGCUGUAAAGUAAAAUAUAUUAUGAUUAUUACAAUGAUAAAGUAUACGCUUUUAAGAGUCUGCUUAUAUUGACCCAUAUAUUCUCUUUUUUCCUCUCUCCAAGAUACAUACAGAGGCACAUUGGAAAUGCAGUAGAAAAUGGCUGCAGAUUUAAAACCAGAAGUUAAGAAGAGUGAACCCGAAUGUAUAGCAAGAGAGCUUCAGGCUGGACUGGCUUCCAGCAGAAGUGGGACUGGAAACCUUGGAUUCUGUUGCCUCUUCUCUGUGACGUGGGAAAACAUGUUUCAUGGCAUGAUAUGACUCAAUCCACAGACAAAGGCUGCUGAGCCCGGGACAGCUUAUUGGACCAGCCCAUAUGAGAAGCACAAAUGUACAGAAACAAACUGAACCCAAGGAAAGAUUGGUGAUACUUUGGGAGGGAUGACAGAGGAAGGGGAAACACAUUGUCCAUCCCUGUCCCAGCAAGGAGCCAGCUCCCAUUCAGCAGUCUCUGUGAACAUCUAGGUAGCUUCCGCAUUCUUUCUGUCCAGUUGUGAGCAGCCACCAACUAUGAUUCCCCUUUUCCAGCAGGCUUUGCUUUCACAUCACAAAGCAUCAUCCUGAGAAACA